AAACAACUCUCAGCCAUCGAGUUUUUGAACGCAAGUUGCGCCCGAGGCUUGUCCCGAGGGCAUGUCUGCCUGAGCGUCACC
rnacentral:rRNA from 1 species